GCCCGGAUGGCUUAGUUGGUAGAGCGUGCGACUUUUGAUCUCAGGGUUGUGGGUUUGAGCCCCAUGUUGGGCA